UACAGAGGUCCCGAGCGUUGUUCGGAUUCACUGGGCGUAAAGGGUGCGUAGGUGGUGAGGUAAGUCGGAUGUGAAAUCUCCUGGCUCAACUGGGAGGGUGCGCCGGAAACUGGAGUGCUUGAGCGUGGGAGAGGAAAGCGGAAUUCCUGGUGUAGCGGUGAAAUGCGUAGAUAUCAGGAGGAACACCUGUGGUGUAGACGGCUUUCUGGACCAUAGCUGACGCUGAGACACGAAAGCGUGGGUAGCAAACAGG
rnacentral:rRNA from 1 species